rnacentral:rRNA from 1 species
AUUGAACGCUGGCGGCAGGCCUAACACAUGCAAGUCGAGCGGAUGACGGGAGCUUGCUCCUUGAUUCAGCGGCGGACGGGUGAGUAAUGCCUAGGAAUCUGCCUGGUAGUGGGGGACAACGUUUCGAAAGGAACGCUAAUACCGCAUACGUCCUACGGGAGAAAGCAGGGGACCUUCGGGCCUUGCGCUAUCAGAUGAGCCUAGGUCGGAUUAGCUAGUUGGUGGGGUAAUGGCUCACCAAGGCGACGAUCCGUAACUGGUCUGAGAGGAUGAUCAGGCACACUGGGACUGAGACACGGUCCAGACUCCUACGGGAGGCAGCAGUGGGGAAUAUUGGACAAUGGGCGAAAGCCUGAUCCAGCCAUGCCGCGUGUGUGAAGAAGGUCUUCGGAUUGUAAAGCACUUUAAGUUGGGAGGAAGGGCAGUAAGCUAAUACCUUGCUGUUUUGACGUUACCGACAGAAUAAGCACCGGCUAACUCUGUGCCAGCCGCCGCAGUAA